UUUUCUGGGGAUAUUGAUGACUAUUACAAGAUUGGAUCGAUAGAAACCCGUUGUUUCGUUUAUUACACGAACUUGAGCUUCAUCGCAGCUUAAUUCUUUAACGUACACCGAAGUGUGUCAUGAACAGGUAAGCAAACCAUUUGUCCAUGCAUUUAAUCAUCACUUAAGACUUAAAGCGGCGCGAUAUCUAGCUUUGUAUCAAACGCUCAGUGAUUCUCUUGACAACGAAUGAGGUAGGAAAGAAAGAACGAGAAUGACAUGUGUUACUCCGCUUAUGGCAAUGAAACAAAAGUGUGAGUACAGUCGCACGAGAAAUUGUUGUUCGCAUCGCUCUUUUGCCGUGCGCUACGUGCUCACUCGAAAAACUGUGACGUCAGGCCAGCGGUCAAAGAAUUAAGCUGUAUAAUGGGGAUACCAGUAUGAUAAAGCCAAAGCGAAGCAAAGAUCGACCAGAAGAAUUAUACGCACUGUCGAAGCAAUUCCAUCGCGAUCCGCCCACUCGAAUUGAUCGCUCCUGGUAGACGUUUGGCGAGGAGGUGAAAACAUUUCUCGAAUCAGAACCGUUAAAGCUGUUCAAAUGCGAAAUUGUCGAACCGAUGGUCACCUUCGAUACAGACUAUGAGCCCUUUGUGCAAAGCAUUAACAAGAACUACAAACUGACGCUUCCGGAUCUAGCCGCAAGAAAUUACACCAGGACCCAGCCUCUUGUUCACUGCUACGUCUUUGCUUAUCGGAAGAGAAGCAACGAGAGGAGCGACAUCUCGAAAUGGUGAUGAGCCACAGCCCACAGAGCAGUCUUCGGAACGUCGACAAAAAUGUCUGCCAAAAAAACUCUACCUCCUUUUCGAAUCAUGUUUUGCCGUAUUCCACAAUGGACGCGCAAGCAUACGAAGGGAAAUUGCAAACUGGCUCCGGUUAACAGACAGUAGUGGUAGACUUUAUGUGAUACGUUCCAAGAGUACCACUAACUGGUAUUGGUGGUUGGUACUUGAACUACUUUUUUCCCGAGUUACCCGAAUGAUGCCUUCCAGGGACAUUCGCGUAACUGGGAGUUUCGCACAACUCGAAUGAUAAGUUUUUCAGUUAAAAAAUUAAUGUUAUACAAUUAUUUAUGAGGAAAUGUAACCAUUCGCGUAGAAAAUUUGUUUAGUGUUAAGUGUUCAGUGACUUCUAACGAUUGUUAUAACCGCAAUUCAUUUUACAUUUUUCAAUUGUUGCGUUAAAUUGUAGUGCUAGGAAAAAAGAAUCUCAGAAGAGCUUCGUAUAUUCGAAUCCCAGUUCUGGUUGGGAUUGGAAACUUUGAAACCCAAGCCCAAUGUGGUCUAGCAUUUUUUUCAAGUUUGCAUCGUGGGGGGACGGGGGCGGGGGGGUUAGUUACAGCUGAAAUAAUGGGUCAUUUUGUUUUACGUAAAUAUUUUACUUUUUAGUACAGUAGAACGUCGAUUAUCCGGGGGCGGAGUAACCGUUGGGCGGCUUAACCGUGGGCAUAAAUGUGACAGCUAUUCAAACAUACGGCGAAAAUUUGCAGCGAUAGUCACGUGGGCAAUCAAUUUUUUGUGCAGCUCUGUAGUGUCUAGUGGUAUUUUCGAAAUUCAUUUUUGUUUAUGAACAGUUGUUAAACCUAUAGUCAUUGAUUAAAAUAAUAUUCUACUAACGAUUGUUCGAUUAUUUCAAUGUGAAUUAAUCAUAAAACUAGUGAAUCUUACAAUUUUUAUAUGAAUUUGACAAUUUUUGGACGAUGAUCCGUGCAAAUCGAUUAACCGGCAACCAUCCGGUCCCGAGGUGCCCGGAUAAUCGACGUUCUACUGUACUUACAUCAUAAUUAGUACAAGUAGUCUCUGAGAUACGUGGACCUUAAUUCGAUAUCAAAUCAAAUAAUUUAUUUUCUGACUAUUACUUCCCAUUAAAUGCUACAUUACACGAACUUUUGCUAUAUGUCGACUAUACCCAAAUAGCCAGAAUUGCUUAAGCAGCUCAUUUUGGCACGCUAAAGAUCGCUGCUCUAAUUCGCCUUUUGCAGUAGAUAAACAGCAUCAAAGUUCCAGGCGCUCCUUCUAAAUAGCGCCUAAGCAGCUUCCAUAAGCUACGGUGCCGGGGAUUAUUUUUCUUUGCGUUUUAUUUUCAAGCAAGCGUCAUCGAUGAAAUAAACAACAGGAUUUGUUUUGUUUGUGUA